GAUGAACGCUAGCGGCAGGCUUAACACAUGCAAGUCGAGGGGCAGCGGGGUCUUCGGACCGCCGGCGACCGGCGCACGGGUGCGUAACGCGUAUGCAACCUACCUUUCACAGGGGGAUAAUCCGGAGAAAUCUGGUCUAAUACCCCAUAACACAUUUUACGGCAUCGUAGAUUGUUGAAAUUUUCGGAGGUGAAAGAUGGGCAUGCGUGACAUUAGCUAGAUGGUGAGGUAACGGCUCACCAUGGCAACGAUGUCUAGGGGGACUGAGAGGUUAACCCCCCACACUGGUACUGAGACAUGAUCAAACUCUUGAAUACG
rnacentral:rRNA from 1 species